rnacentral:rRNA from 1 species
ACACAUGCAAGUCGAGGGGCAGCAUGGCCUUUGCUUGCUAAGGCCGAUGGCGACCGGCGCACGGGUGAGUAACGCGUAUCCAACCUGCCUUACACUCUUGGACAGCCUUCUGAAAGGGAGAUUAAUACAAGAUGUUAUCAUGAGUAAGCAUUUUCGCAUGAUUAAAGGUUUACCGGUGUAAGAUGGGGAUGCGUUCCAUUAGAUAGUAGGCGGGGUAACGGCCCACCUAGUCUUCGAUGGAUAGGGGUUCUGAGAGGAAGGUCCCCCACAUUGGAACUGAGACACGGUCCAAACUCCUACGGGAGGCAGCAGUGAGGAAUAUUGGUCAAUGGACGAGAGUCUGAACCAGCCAAGUAGCGUGAAGGAUGAAGGUUCUAUGGAUUGUAAACUUCUUUUAUACGGGAAUAAACGAAUCCACGCGUGGAUUUUUGCAUGUACCGUAUGAAUAAGGAUCGGCUAACUCCGUGCCAGCAGCCGCGGUAAUACGGAGGAUCCGAGCGUUAUCCGGAUUUAUUGGGUUUAAAGGGAGCGUAGAUGGGUUGUUAAGUCAGUUGUGAAAGUUUGCGGCUCAACCGUAAAAUUGCAAUUGAUACUGGCAGUCUUGAGUACAGUUGAGGUAGGCGGAAUUCGUGGUGUAGCGGUGAAAUGCUUAGAUAUCACGAAGAACUCCGAUUGCGAAGGCAGCUUACUAACCUGUAACUGACAUUGAUGCUCGAAAGUGUGGGUAUCAAACAGGAUUAGAUACCCUGGUAGUCCACACGGUAAACGAUGAAUACUCGCUGUAGGCGAUAUACAGUCUGCGGCCAAGCGAAAGCAUUAAGUAUUCCACCUGGGGAGUACGCCGGCAACGGUGAAACUCAAAGGAAUUGACGGGGGCCCGCACAAGCGGAGGAACAUGUGGUUUAAUUCGAUGAUACGCGAGGAACCUUACCCGGGCUUAAAUUGCAACCGAAUAUGGCGGAAACGCUAUAGCUAGCAAUAGCGGUUGUGAAGGUGCUGCAUGGUUGUCGUCAGCUCGUGCCGUGAGGUGUCGGCUUAAGUGCCAUAACGAGCGCAACCCUUGCCGAUAGUUACUAACAGGUUAUGCUGAGGACUCUGUCGGGACUGCCAUCGUAAGAUGUGAGGAAGGUGGGGAUGACGUCAAAUCAGCACGGCCCUUACGUCCGGGGCUACACACGUGUUACAAUGGGGGGUACAGAGGGCUGCUACCACGCAAGUGGAUGCCAAUCCCAAAAACCUCUCUCAGUUCGGAUUGAAGUCUGCAACCCGACUUCAUGAAGCUGGAUUCGCUAGUAAUCGCGCAUCAGCCACGGCGCGGUGAAUACGUUCCCGGGCCUUGUACACACCGCCCGUCAAGCCAUGGGAGCCGGGGGUACCUGAAGUGCGUAACCGCAAGGAGCGCCCUAGGGUAAAACUGGUGACUGGGGCUAAGAC